CCACCUCUAACUAAGUAUAUAAGUACAGAGAUUAGUGCAAAAUUGUUGUUGUUAGAUUAGUUUUUGGUCAUUGGGAGCCAGCAAAUGCACUCUAUUGGCACUACAUGUUAAAGGAUAUUGGCUGCUAGCGGAUCCGGAUCAAAUUGUCCAGGCAGCAGGAAGCGGGGCGUACCAGCGGUCGUCGAGAAUCUGGAUUGGCUAAGGUUUAAUGGAUGACACAUCACCAUGGGAAAGCUACUAUCAAAAAUUUUCGGCAACAAAGAAAUGCGAAUUCUUAUGCUCGGACUGGACGCGGCUGGCAAAACAACGAUUCUGUACAAACUGAAACUAGGGCAAUCAGUUACAACGAUACCCACUGUGGGCUUUAACGUGGAAACCGUCACCUACAAGAACGUCAAGUUCAACGUUUGGGAUGUCGGUGGACAGGAUAAGAUACGACCGCUCUGGCGACACUACUAUACGGGAACACAGGGUCUUAUAUUCGUAGUGGACUGUGCGGAUCGGGAUCGAGUGGAUGAGGCGCGCACGGAGCUGCAUAGGAUAAUUAACGAUAGGGAGAUGCGUGACGCCAUCAUUCUGAUAUUUGCUAAUAAACAGGAUCUGCCUAAUGCAAUGAAACCCCAUGAAGUCCAGGAAAAACUAGGUUUAACUAGAAUAAGAGAUCGCAAUUGGUAUGUACAACCGUCAUGUGCCACAUCCGGCGAUGGCCUGGCCGAGGGCCUGAUUUGGUUAACGUCGAACCAUAAGUUAUGAGAGUCGUAAUUGAGCAUUUUCUUAUAUGUAUAUGUAUAUGGCAUGUAUUAUUCGAAGCGAAGCAAAAGCAAAAUAUUCUAUUUUAUUUAUACGAAGAAAGAAAAACAAACAAGUGAGAGAAAAACCGAAAUACAUCAACAACCAAAAGCGCAUAGUAAAGAAGCCCAAUUCGUAAUUACGAACGUACAUAACUUAACGAAAAAAAAAAAAUGUUAAAAAAUGUAAAAAUACACAUAACAAAUAAACGAAGCAUCAACAAUAUAAGCAAACAAAUAAAUAUGCGUAAAAUACAAAAAUUAUGCGUGAAGCACAGAGAUAUAAUGCAAAAAGCGAAAACAUCAACGGAGAUUAGUGUUAAGUAAGUUUUUCUUGUAAAUUAUAUUGAUGAGACAUGUAAGCAAUAAGUUGAAAGCUUGUUUAUUGCAACUGUUACUAUAUAUUUGACUUGAACAAGGGUAACGAGUCUUAAAUAAAUUGUAAAUAAAUAUUCAAAUUAAAGCCCAUAUACAACAACAACAACAAACAAAAUACAAAAUACAAAAUACAAAAACAAAAUAAAAAAGCAAAAAACACCGAACAAACAAUUGAACAAACCUAUAGAUUGCUAUUUAGAUUAAAACUGAGUCUUCAAAAAAAAUAUAAAGAAAUAGUAACUGUGCCUUCCUCAAUGUC
rnacentral:misc_RNA from 1 species